rnacentral:rRNA from 1 species
UACGUAGGGCGCAAGCGUUAUCCGGAAUUAUUGGGCGUAAAGAGCUCGUAGGCGGUUUGUCGCGUCUGCCGUGAAAGUCCGGGGCUCAACUCCGGAUCUGCGGUGGGUACGGGCAGACUAGAGUGAUGUAGGGGAGACUGGAGUUCCUGGUGUAGCGGUGAAAUGCGCAGAUAUCAGGAGGAACACCGAUGGCGAAGGCAGGUCUCUGGGCAUUAACUGACGCUGAGGAGCGAAAGCGUGGGGAGCGAACAGG